rnacentral:rRNA from 1 species
CCUACGGGGGGCAGCAGUAGGGAAUAUUGCUCAAUGGGGGAAACCCUGAAGCAGCAACGCCGCGUGGAGGAUGAAGGUUUUCGGAUUGUAAACUCCUUUUGUUAGAGAAGAUAAUGACGGUAUCUAACGAAUAAGCACCGGCUAACUCCGUGCCAGCAGCCGCGGUAAUACGGAGGGUGCAAGCGUUACUCGGAAUCACUGGGCGUAAAGAGCGCGUAGGCGGGAUAGCAAGUCAGAUGUGAAAUCCUAUGGCUUAACCAUAGAAGUGCAUUUGAAACUGUUAUUCUAGAGUAUGGGAGAGGUAGGUGGAAUUCUUGGUGUAGGGGUGAAAUGCGUAGAGAUCAAGAGGAAUACUCAUUGCGAAGGCGACCUGCUAGAACAUAACUGACGCUGAGGCGCGAAAGCGUGGGGAGCAAACAGGAUUAGAUACCCUAGUAGUC